CUGUCAAGUCAAAGUCUCUCUGCUAUCACCCUCGACGACUCAACGCUGCCAUCUCCAUCUCCGAACUGCCGCAAUUCAAACCCAGAAAAGAAAAGCCACGCUCCCAUCCCACCACCCCCAUCUCCAAAUUCCGGCGAACAGAUAACUCUGCAAAAUCCUCUGCACUAAAAAAGACUGUUCUAUCAAAUCCUCUCCCAAAUUCCCAUGAAACCGAUGGCGAACGCGAACGCGAGUUCGAAGCCUUCACCUCCCUUUUAUUCUUCGCGUCCUCCAUGGUUUCUUCUUUGAACGCUCGAAUGUCUGCAGCUUCUAGCGAUUUCUACAAGGAUUUGCAGCAAUCCCUUCAUCAUUUUCAGGUUGGUCACCGCCGCGUUGCAUGAUUCGCGAAGUUCAGGUUCGAAAACGGUACUCUCGCUGUGUCAAUUUCAUCGAUUUUGUUCCCAAUCUUGUACAUUUGUUUAAUUUGUGAUUGAAUGAUUGGGUUCGGAAUCAUUACCCUCUGCAAAUUUGUAAAUUUAUUUUAUCUAUUACAUUCUCACUCUUGUAAACCUCGGAGAAGCCACUCGGAGGUGGUUCAACAGGUGAAUUAUGCAGAUCGAUCGAGAAAGCUCCCGUUUAGAUUUUCAUGUAAUUGUUUAAUCAAUCUUUCUUUUUGUUUUUGUGUUUUUGAUCAUCAAACAAAUGUUGCUGAUGUUUGUUUGGAUUGUUGGUUUGUGAAAUUUUUAAGGAAAAUUGGCUGAUGUUGUUCUUGGAUUUGUCUUUGUGGAGCCCUAUGUGGUAAAGAUCCUUGGUUUUUGGAUCUUUACUCUUUAAUAAACCCUGGUUUUUUCUAAAAUAACGCUAAAAUAUGAUAAAAGCUUGAUCCCUCUCACCCACAGCUCAGCCAUUUCAAUCCCAACUUCACACACAAAAGGCAGCUCCUUCUGCUUUGUAGUUACCGCAUGGAACAGCCCGGGCUCGUCAGUGUCAAAUUUCCUCCGGCGGUUCCAUCUGAACGAGUCACUAGCCUCGACUUCUGCCCUCCUACAAAUCACAUUUCUCUUGCUCGACUUCCCCCACUGCAAAAUCCCAGCAGCCCCCACCAUUUUCAGCAUUUUUUUGAUGUGGAGAUCCUCUACCGCAUUUUUAUGUGUUUCUUUACCUGACUUCACCUUCUUGCAAGCUCUUCCAAUAUCAAAUUCUCUGCAUAAUUUUUAAUCCCACUUUUCCUUGCAAGCAAGAGUGCUGUCUCGUGUCCUGCACAAUGUCGCAUUUUUCCUCUAAAGAAGUCAAAAGCUCGCACAGCGUAGCGUGGCCUUCUCUUGCUGCUAACAUCAACAGAGUGUAUCCAUCGGCAUCAGAAGCAUUCACAUCAGAACCCCUGCCCAUCAAUGUAUGAAUGAAAUCUGUGGCGUUGUGUUGUACUGCCUGAUGUUGAGUCCUAUAAAACUCAACAGGACUAUCAAGUACCUUUUGAGGUUUAUGUCAGCCCCAGCGUCGAUAAGCAAUUUGAUAGCUGCAGCUAUCAUGGCAGCUGAGCAUCCCUUUUCAUCUUGCUCAUUGAAAUCAACGUCUGCCCCCUCAAUCAGUUUCUUCAAAGCCUCAACAUUGUUUGUUUGAGUCACAAACAUUAGAGGAGAAAAUAUUGAUGCAUCACUUGAUUGAGCAAUUUCACCUCUACAACUGCGUGCUGGAAGCCAAGAGCCCACCUUGCCGACUCAGCUAUUAUGCUUGCACUCUGACCAGCAGAAUUGACCAGGCCAAAAUCAGCAGCGCCUGAAGCCAGGCUUUUGAGGCAUUCCUGGGGUUAUUAUCUGGCACAGAUCAUUAGUGCAGUUUCUCCGGAUUCUGUCUGAGAGUUGAUAGUUGAUAUUGCACCAGGCACCAAUCAAUAGUUGAAGAAUCUUAUUUAAUCCAAGUCGUGACACCAUGUGAACGGGGCAGUCAGUUUCUGAAUUUGUUGUCUUAAUUGGAACUUCUACAUCUGCACUGCAAUUUAACAGAACCUCUACCGCUCUUUCAUUGUUACAUAAGAUGGCGUGGUGAAUGAGAGUCCUCCCAAAGUGAGGAAUGUUAGGAGAGUGGUGUUGCAAGAGCUUUGUGCAAGAUAGCACCGCUGGCUUCAAAAUACUCCACAGCACACCAGGUCACGCUGUAAGCCAUGGCUAGUCCUGCACCCACCCAAAACUCUUCUCCUGUAUUUACAUCCCAGGGCCAGCAGUGUAUAACUAUAAAGGUAUGCAUACUAGCCCAUGAGUUAGGGAUACACCUGCAAGAGCAGUCUGGCAACAGAAAUUUGCUGGCUAACAAUGGCGGAAAUAAGCACAUUACAGUAAACAUUAGUAUGUAGGAAUGGCUUGGACGAUUGAAGCAGCGCCCUGUCAGUUGCGUUGGCAUCCACCCCACACUGCCACCAAGAAAUAGCAUCACUGUCAUGGAACAAAAGUUAAAUGUUCAAGCAAUUACAACACAUACACAUUUCGGUGAUGGCUACCUUAAUUGUACAUCACACUUAUUUAUGUUGAAGCAUACUUUAAGGCAAUUGUAGGCUCAGCACAAGUCCUCCUAGGUUAGAAAAGCACUUUCAGCAUAAGCGCUUGCUAAAAUUUAAAACCAUAAAGGAAUUUUGAUUAAUGUAUGAUGAUAAAAGACUGUUACCUUGAUGAAUGUGUCAACUACAUCAACGAAGCCUCUGGAGCAAGCAGAAACAAGAGCAUGCACAGCCGCCUGAGGGCGGGGAUCAUGUCGGACCCCAUGAGCAUCUCUGCGGACCUAGCCCUGCCAAGUAGCUUGCCUCCAACAGAGCCUCCUCACAUGCCGGCUGAGAUGCACCUUUGGCAGCAUGUUAUGUCAGGGUUAUGAGGAAUUUUCAGCAGCAGUGAUUAUGAUUAAGGCUUUUCGAAGCAAAUGCAAAGAACC